rnacentral:rRNA from 1 species
CCGGCACGGGUGGAGUAACACGUAUCCAACCUGCCGUCUACUCUUGGCCAGCCUUCUGAAGGAAGAUUAAUCCAGGAUGGCAUCAUGAGUUCACAUGUCCGCAUGAUUAAAGGUAUUUUCCGGUAGACGAUGGGGAUGCGUUCCAUUAGAUAGUAGGCGGGGUAACGGCCCACCUAGCAACGAUGGAUAGGGGUUCUGAGAGGAAGGUCCCCCACAUUGGAACUGAGACACGGUCCAA